CCUACGGGAGGCAGCAGUGAGGAAUAUUGGUCAAUGGGCGAGAGCCUGAACCAGCCAAGUCGCGUGAGGGAGUACUGCCCUAUGGGUUGUAAACCUCUUUUGUCGGGGAGCAAAAGUCGGACGUGUUCGGCUGUGAGAGUAACCGAAGAAAAAGCAUCGGCUAACUCCGUGCCAGCAGCCGCGGUAAUACGGAGGAUGCGAGCGUUAUCAGGAUUUAUUGGGUUUAAAGGGUGCGCAGGCGGAUUCUUAUGUCAGCGGUCAAAUCGUGGGGCUCAACCCCAUCCAGCCGUUGAAACUGGGGAUCGAGAGUGUGCGGGAGAGGCAGGCAGAAUUCCUAGUGUAGCGGUGAAAUGCGUAGAGAUUAGGAGGAACACCGGCGGCGAAGGCGGCCUGCUGGAC
rnacentral:rRNA from 1 species